GAUUGAAUGGUCCGGUGAAGUGUUCGGAUCGGGGGGACGUGGGUGGUUCGCCACUCGCGACGUCUUGAGAAGUCCAUUGAACCUUAUCAUUUAGAGGAAGGAGAAGUCGUAACAAGGUUUCCGUAGGUGAACCUGCGGAAGGAUCAUUG
rnacentral:rRNA from 1 species